UAAAGCGUGCGCAGGCGGUUUUGUAAGACUGUCGUGAAAUCCCCGGGCUCAACCUGGGAAUGGCGAUGGUGACUGCAAGGCUAGAGUUUGGCAGAGGGGGGUAGAAUUCCACGUGUAGCAGUGAAAUGCGUAGAUAUGUGGAGGAACACCGAUGGCGAAGGCAGCCCCCUGGGUCAAAACUGACGCUCAUGCACGAAAGCGUGGGGAGCAAACAGGAUUAGAUACCCCUG
rnacentral:rRNA from 1 species